rnacentral:rRNA from 1 species
GCCAGACUCCUACGGGAGGCAGCAGUGGGGAAUAUUGGGCAAUGGGCGCAAGCCUGACCCAGCAACGCCGCGUGAAGGAAGAAGGCUUUCGGGUUGUAAACUUCUUUUAUGAGGGACGAAAGAAAUGACGGUACCUCAUGAAUAAGCCACGGCUAACUACGUGCCAGCAGCCGCGGUAAUACGUAGGUGGCAAGCGUUAUCCGGAUUUACUGGGUGUAAAGGGCGUGUAGGCGGGACUGCAAGUCAGAUGUGAAAAUUAUGGGCUCAACCCAUAACCUGCAUUUGAAACUGUAGUUCUUGAGUGAUGGAGAGGCAGGCGGAAUUCCGUGUGUAGCGGUGAAAUGCGUAGAUAUACGGAGGAACACCAGUGGCGAAGGCGGAUUGCUGGACAGUAACUGACGCUGAGGCGCGAAAGCGUGGGGAGCAAACAGGAUUAGAUACCCGGGUA